UGUAUGAAAAUGUUGAGAAAUGCAAUUUGGAACAUGAUUUUGUAAUUUAUGAAAAUGUUGUAAUGCUAUUUUGAUUUUGAAAUGUACUAUGGAUAUAAAAUGGAUUUUUUCAGAAAUAAACCAAAACUAAUUUAAAUAUCAAUUUAAAUAAUAAUAAAAAAUCAGUAGAAAACCCAAUUAAAAUCAAAUUAAUCCAAUAAUUUGUUAAAAUUACUUUUGACAUCAAUUCUAAC
rnacentral:lncRNA from 1 species